rnacentral:rRNA from 1 species
AUUAUUUUAAGCUAUAUAUUAGGAGUAAAUAAAAUUUAUGAAAUUAAAAAAUUUUGGCGGUAUUUUAAGCUUAUUAGAGGAAUUUGCUCUGUGAUGGACACAACGCCUUAAUCUUACUUAAUUUAGUAAUUUAAAUCAGUUUGUAUACCACUAUAUUAAUUAUAUUGAAUAGUUAUAUUUAAAAUUUUUUUAAAAAAAUAUAUUAAGUCAAGGUGCAUCUAAUAAUUAUGAAUGAAGUGAAUUACAUUAAUUUUAAUGUAAUUUUUUACAUGAAAAAAUUAAUUAGGAUUUAAUAGUAAAAUACUAAUAUUAUGAGUAUUUGAAUCAAGCUCUAAAAUAUGCAC